rnacentral:rRNA from 1 species
GACGAACGCUGGCGGCGUGCCUAAUACAUGCAAGUAGAACGCUGAAGAGAGGAGCUUGCUCUUCUUGGAUGAGUUGCGAACGGGUGAGUAACGCGUAGGUAACCUGCCUUGUAGCGGGGGAUAACUAUUGGAAACGAUAGCUAAUACCGCAUAACAAUGGAUGACACAUGUCAUUUAUUUGAAAGGGGCAAUUGCUCCACUACAAGAUGGACCUGCGUUGUAUUAGCUAGUAGGUGAGGUAAUGGCUCACCUAGGCGACGAUACAUAGCCGACCUGAGAGGGUGAUCGGCCACACUGGGACUGAGACACGGCCCAGACUCCUACGGGAGGCAGCAGUAGGGAAUCUUCGGCAAUGGGGGCAACCCUGACCGAGCAACGCCGCGGGAGUGAAGAAGAUUUUCGGAUCGUAAAGCUCUGUUGUAAGUCAAGAACGGGUGUGAGAGUGGAAAGUUCACACUGUGACGGUAGCUUACCAGAAAGGGACGGCUAACUACGUG